rnacentral:rRNA from 1 species
GUGCAGCAGGCGCGAAACCUCCGCAAUGCGGGAAACCGCGACGGGGGGACCCCGAGUGCCGUGGCAACGCCACGGCUUUUCCGGAGUGUAAAAAGCUCCGGGAAUAAGGGCUGGGCAAGGCCGGUGGCAGCCGCCGCGGUAAUACCGGCGGCCCGAGUGGUGGCCGCUAUUAUUGGGCCUAAAGCGUCCGUAGCCGGGCCCGUAAGUCCCUGGCGAAAUCCCACGGCUCAACCGUGGGGCUUGCUGGGGAUACUGCGGGUCUUGGGACCGGGAGAGGCGGGGGGUACCCCUGGGGUAGGGGUGAAAUCCUAUAAUCCCAGGGGGACCGCCAGUGGCGAAGGCGCCCCGCUGGAACGGGUCCGACGGUGAGGGACGAAGGCCAGGGGAGCAAACCGGAUUAGAUACCCCUGUAGU